UGCAUCCAAAUGAAAGAGGACUUAUUUGUUAUCAUACUUUGCAGGACAAUAUACAUCCUUCAAAAGACUGAACCUAUUUAUUUACCACAACCUGCUGGAACUAGGCCAGUUCAUGUACAGUAGCAAUGUUACUGGGAAGAUUUCUGCUUAAUCUGAAAGGUGUUUGUAUACAAGAUGGGGCAUUGCUUAAGGAUUGCUGUACCUGCUUACUAGUAGUCUGACAGGUGAUUAGACCCACUGCUACGAGUCUGAAAUCAUAUCUCUGUUGUAAUUUACUCAAAUAUUUCAGACUUGUAGAUGUUAUAUUCAAGAUACUGUUGAGAUGUUUUUGGAUGUUACAGUUUAGAUACUGUUGAGAUGUGUGUGUAACAGUUAAGAUACUGUUGAGAUGUGAGUGUUACAGUUGAGAUACUGUUGAUGUGUUCGUGUCACAGUUAAGCUACAUUUUGUAACAUGGAGAUGUGGGUAGUACAGUUAAGAUACCAUUGAGAUUUUAGUAUUACAGUUAAGAUAACAUUGACAUGUGUGUCACAAAUUGACAUACGGGCCUUAUUUUAUCUGUAUUGUAAAUGCAGGUAUUGCAUCAUCUUUUUGUAAAUUUUUGAGUUAUUGAGGUAAAUGUCAGAUUUCACGCAUGAAAUACCUCUCAUGUUUUUCUGUAUUUCAUAACUUAAAUUUCCAUGUAAAUUUCAUUCAAUUCUGUUCAGUAAUAAGAAAGUUGAUAUUUUAUAAACUUCAGUAAUUUAUGUUUUUAUCCCCAAAACCACUAUAAUGGGCCUCAAAUUGUCAAUUUAAAUUCGCGCCAAAGUAGUCAGAUUUCCCGGCUAUAUCGUGAAUCCCGUGAAAAUGACAAUAGUCGGAGCUCACGGCUUAACCGUGAAUCCCAUGAAAUUUAGUAUUUGGCAGGACAUUACCCUUUAAAUAGACUGGACUAGAUAUGCCUUGCGCACACCACCUUCCGACUUUAUAGACGAAUCUAUGUCUGAAUUAUUUUCUUGCUAGAAAUUUAUGCUCGAUCGAGCUUCUUCCGCCAGACGAUUUUACCUGGUGAUGUCAUAACCCGGAAGUACAAUGCCCGAGGUUCACUUGUCUUCACUCGCCUGGAUGUGAUAUUCCCAGCGCAGAGCUUACGUCCCAUGGUUGUGCCGUAAACCGCAAAGACGAUGAUUUUUGUUAUCCUCUGAAGUCAGCUCAGGGAUGCAAUCACCUACCACCAUAGGGAGCCAACACGGAAUCAACGUAUUCACGGUUUAAAGGGACUGGAUUUUGAGAUAUGUUUUGUUUGUGCUACUUAAAGUUCACAAUUACAUUAAAGACCUGUGUCACGUCAGAUUAGAAUGGACUAUAAGAACUUUUGUAUCUAGAGAUACUGAAUUUUUUUUUUCUUUCUGAUAAUCAGUUUUUUUUUCUUUUCAUAUCUAUUCAUUGUUAAUAAUCAUCUUUUGUAAAUAAAUUUGUAAAUAUUGUAAA